GAUUAAGUUAUUAAGGGCGCAUGGUGGAUGCCUUGGCACUAGAAGCCGAAGAAGGACGUUACUAACGACGAUAUGCUUUGGGUAGCUGUAAGUAAGCGUUU
rfam:Staphylococcus capitis strain CR03 genome assembly, contig: BN1517_Contig_29